GCAUAUCAAUAAGCGGAGGAAAAGAAACUAACAAGGAUUCCCCUAGUAGCGGCGAGCGAAGCGGGAAGAGCUCAAAUUUAUAAUCUGGCGCUUUCAGCGUCCGAGUUGUAAUCUCUAGAAGUGUUUUCCGCGUUGGACCGCACACAAGUCUGUUGGAAUACAGCGGCACAGUGGUGAGACCCCCGUAUACGGUGCGGAUGCCCAAUGCUUUGUGAUACACUUUCGAAGAGUCGAGUUGUUUGGGAAUGCAGCUCAAAUUGGGUGGUAAAUUCCAUCUAAAGCUAAAUAUUGGCGAGAGACCGAUAGCGAACAAGUACCGUGAGGGAAAGAUGAAAAGCACUUUGGAAAGAGAGUUAACAGUACGUGAAAUUGUUGGAAGGGAAACGCUUGAAGUCAGACUUGCUAUUCGGGUUUACUCGAGUUGCAGGCCAGCAUCAGUUUUCUGGGGUGGAAAAUCACGGUUUGAAGGUAGCAACUUCGGUUGUGUUAUAGCUUUCCGUUGGAUACAUCCUGGGGGACUGAGGAUCGCAGUGUGCUUUUAGCAGGAGCUUCGGCUUCAUCACACUUAGGAUGCUGGUGUAAUGGCUUUAAACGACCCGUCUUGAAACACGGACCAAGGAGUCUAACAUGCUUGCGAGUAUUUGGGUGUCAAACCCGGAUGCGUAAUGAAAGUGAAUGGAGGUGGGAACCGCAAGGUGCACCAUCGACCGAUCUGGAUUUUUUAAGAUGGAUUUGAGUAAGAGCACGUAUGUUGGGACCCGAAAGAUGGUGAACUAUGCCUGAAUAGGGCGAAGCCAGAGGAAACUCUGGUGGAGGCUCGUAGCGGUUCUGACGUGCAAAUCGAUCGUCAAAUUUGGGUAUAGGGGCGAAAGACUAAUCGAACCAUCUAGUAGCUGGUUCCUGCGA
rnacentral:rRNA from 1 species